ACAGUUUUUGCUCUCAAAAGUAACAGCAAAAAUCACAAUUAUUUUCAUUACUUUUACACCAACUUAAUAUAAGCUAAGGAAUGCAAAAGAUUGCCAGCAAAUGACCAGAAGCUAGAGGGGAGGCAUGGAACAGAUCUUCUCUCACAGCCUCAGAAGGAACCAGCCCUACUGACACCUCCAUCUUACUUCUAGACUCCAGACUGAUGACUCAUUCUUGGAGCCCAGUUGCCAUACUGUGAGGAAGCCCAACAGGCACAAACUAACAGAACACGUGAAAAAGCUUCAGCCUCAUGUAGAUGUUCUGGCCAACAUCCCAGUUGAUGUCACAGCCAACAGCCUGCAUCAAGUGCCUGACAUGUUCACGAGUGCCCUGAAUUCCAUCCACAGAGCUAUUGGAUGUUUGGAGCCC